AGCGAACGUUAGCGGCGGGCCUAACACAUGCAAGUCGAGCGAGAAAGGGACUUCGGUCCUGAGUACAGCGGCGGACGGGUGAGUAACACGUAGGUAAUCUGCCCUUCAGUCGGGGACAACGGUCCGAAAGGACCGCUAAUACCGGAUUCGUUCCUUGGGACUUCGGUUCUGGGGAGGAAAGCUGCCCGCAAGGGUGGCGCUGGAGGAGGAGCCUGCGUCGCAUCAGCUAGUUGGUGGGGUAAUGGCCUACCAAGGCUAAGACGCGUAGCUGGUCUGAGAGGAUGAUCAGCCACACUGGGACUGAGACACGGCCCAGACUCCUACGGGAGGCUG
rnacentral:rRNA from 1 species